rnacentral:rRNA from 1 species
AUGCACGCUGGCGGCGUGCCUAAUACCUGCCAGUCGAGCGCACAGACGAGGAGCUUGCUCCUCUGACGUUAGCGGCGGACGGGUGAGUAACACGUGGAUAACCUACCUAUAAGACUGGGAUAACUUCGGGAAACCGGAGCUAAUACCGGAUAAUAUAUUGAACCGCAUGGUUCAAUAGUGAAAGACGGUUUUGCUGUCACUUAUAGAUGGAUCCGCGCCGCAUUAGCUAGUUGGUAAGGUAACGGCUUACCAAGGCAACGAUGCGUAGCCGACCUGAGAGGGUGAUCGGCCACACUGGAACUGAGACACGGUCCAGACUCCUACGGGAGGCAACAGUAGGGAAUCUUCCGCAAUGGGCGAAAGCCUGACGGAGCAACGCCGCGUGAGUGAUGAAGGUCUUCGGAUCGUAAAACUCUGUUAUUAGGGAAGAACAAAUGUGUAAGUAACUAUGCACGUCUUGACGGUACCUAAUCAGAAAGCCACGGCUAACUACGUG